UACGGGGGGGGCAAGCGUUGUUCGGAAUUACUGGGCGUAAAGGGCUCGUAGGUGGCCAACUAAGUCAGACGUGAAAUCCCUCGGCUUAACCGGGGAACUGCAUCUGAUACUGGAUGGCUUGAGUUCGGGAGAGGGAUGUGGAAUUCCAGGUGUAGCGGUGAAAUGCGUAGAUAUCUGGAGGAACACCGGUGGCGAAGGCGGCAUCCUGGACCGACACUGACGCUGAGGAGCGAAAGCCAGGGGAGCAAACGGGG
rnacentral:rRNA from 1 species